GACGAACGCUGGCGGCGUGCUUAACACAUGCAAGUCGAACGGAAAGGCCCCGCUUUUGUGGGGUGCUCGAGUGGCGAACGGGUGAGUAACACGUGAGUAACCUGCCCUUGACUUUGGGAUAACUUCAGGAAACUGGGGCUAAUACCGGAUAGGAGCUCCUGCUGCAUGGUGGGGGUUGGAAAGUUUCGGCGGUUGGGGAUGGACUCGCGGCUUAUCAGCUUGUUGGUGGGGUAGUGACUUACCAAGGCUUUGACGGGUAGCCGGCCUGAGAGGGUGACCGGCCACAUUGGGACUGAGAUACGGCCCAGACUCCUACGGGAGGCAGCAGUGGGGAAUAUUGCACAAUGGGCGGAAGCCUGAUGCAGCAACGCCGCGUGCGGGAUGACGGCCUUCGGGUUGUAAACCGCUUUCGCCUGUGACGAAGCGUGAGUGACGGUAAUGGGUAAAGAAGCACCGGCUAACUACGUG
rnacentral:rRNA from 1 species